rnacentral:rRNA from 1 species
AACGAACGCUGGCGGCAGGCCUCAAACAUGCAAGUCUAGGGGGUGUAGCAAUACAUCACCGGCGGACGGGUGCGUAACGCGUGGGAAUAUACCUAUCGAUUCGGAACAACUGAGGGAAACUUCAGCUAAUACCGAAUACGUCCUAACGGAGAAAGAUUUAUCGUCGAUAGAUUAGCCCGCGUUCGAUUAGCUAGUUGGUGGGGUAACGGCCCACCAAGGCGACGAUCGAUAGCUGUUCUGAGAGGAAGAUCAGCCACACUGGGACUGAGACACGGCCCAGACUCCUACGGGAGGCAGCAGUUGGGAAUCUUGGACAAUGGGGGGAAACCCUGAUCCAGCCAUGCCGCGUGAGUGAUGAAGGCCUUCGGUUGGUAAAACUCUUUCGCGCACGACGAUAAUGACGGUAGUGCGAGAAGAAGCUCCGGCUAACUUCGUGCCAGCA